rnacentral:lncRNA from 1 species
GGGAUUUGUCGGGUCCCCUAACCCGACCUGAAGAUAAAAACAAAAAAAAAAAUUGUCUAAUAUUUUUCAUUCCCUUGGAUCAUCGAAUCGAUUUUUAUUCCCCAAAAGAAACCCUAACAGCUCGUCAGCCGUCGUCGUCACUAACAGCCGGUCAGUCGCCACCGUUCGUUGUCACUGACCAUCACUUGUCCGCGCUUGUCGAUUCUCCUGCCGCAAGGUUUUUGCUUUUUCUAUUUUUCUUUCUUUAUUUAUUUGUUUCAAAUUGCAUCUGGUUUCAUUGAUUUGAGUCAAUUUUACAUUUUAUAUGUUUUCAUUCACCUUCUUUUGAUUUUAUUCUUAGUCAUAUAGUACCGAAGCACUGACUGUAGCCUUGGAGAGCUGACUGAAGCAGAGGCCGCAACCUUGAUUUGAGUCACCGACAACCAUGGUUUGGGCCUAAUAAAGGUCAGAUUUCAUUCAUAUACUUAAUUGUUGGCAGCUGAUUGUUGUUGCUUCUCUUAUUAAUUUCACCCAUGCAGCCAUUUUGUCACUAACUUUAAAAAAUUAUUUGUUACUUUCUGUAAUUUCGCACACCCAGACACUAGUUAUUAGUUUUUUUUUUUGUAAUUUAAUGAAUUAACUUCUAAUUAUCCCCUGAAGUUAUUAUGUAACCGCUCGCAUAUUAUGAGUUGUUUGAAUGACAAUGGUGACAUAAGAAUGAAGAAAAGCGAGAUCCUUCCAGUGAAUGCCAACUGAAACAUCACCGGUUCAUUGCAUUCAUUUUCAAUUUGUUUAAGAAUAGAUCUGGUAGAAUUAAUAUGGGUUGUCUGUCAAUGGACAAGAUGUGCUUGUAUUCUUGUUGAAACACAAGCUAGCUAUAAGUCACAGUUUGUUUUUCUGUUUUUGUUUUGUAUUCUGUUUUUUCCUUCGAACCUUUAAAUUGCAGUUUAAUAAUAUUAGUUCUUAAAAUACAAACAAAUGAAUCCGGAUAAGAUUCCAGUCACACGGUAAAUCAGAUAAAUCAUAUAUAUUGCGCUGAGAAUAUGAUCAUCUACAAUCAUUUUUUUGCCAAGGUCGUUAACAAAACAAUGGAUGCAUUUGGAAAUCCCUGAUGCAUGGCAAUGACUUUUGAGUUACAUGACUUCAUUGAUGAUCAAAACUUUGAUCAAUUCAUUGAUCUAAUUCAAGAAGAAACGAAGACCCCUUUCCUAGUUUAGUAAAGUAGUACAUCUUUUAAAGUUUACUUUUUAGUUGAAAUGAUGUUUAUUUGCUACAGGUAUACCAAUUGAUAAGGUGGCACAACUAAGCUAGGAAACUUGAAAUUAUGUUGGGAAAAAGUUGCUGGAACUCACUUUAAUGGAGCUUUUUGUCUUCCAGUUCAUGCAGGCGUGUUUUCUCUUUCUCCACACCAUUUUUCUAAUUACUUUCUGUUUGGCGUAUGGUUGCAUCAGAGGAAAGUUUUUGUUGCUAGUGAUACAAAUUAUAUUCUUAGUAGGACGGUUUAAGUUUAUUUUCCAGUUUAUUUUAAUAAACAAAUUAUUCAGUUUAAUUUUUGUUUGUUUAUGUUAUAGGUUUAUGAAGAAUCUUAGAAUGUGCAUCAAUGGUGAUGGCUACAAGCUUAUGUUGAAGACUUAAAAUUAUUUUGAUUUGUCGUAUAAAAUUUGAUCAUUUGUAAUUAUGUCGAAGGCUUAGAAUUAUUAUAUUUUUAUUUAUGUGGAGGUUGUUAAAAUUUGAACACUUGUAAUUUUAUUUCUAAUAUAGAAUUUGAUCAUUUAUAAUUUUAUUUCUAAAUAUGGAGGUUGUUA